AACGAACGCUGGCGGCAUGCCUAACACAUGCAAGUCGAACGAUGGUCUUCGGAUCAUAGUGGCGCACGGGUGCGUAACGCGUGGGAAUCUGCCCUUGGGUUCGGAAUAACAGUUGGAAACGACUGCUAAUACCGGAUGAUGUCGAUAAGACCAAAGAUUUAUCGCCCGAGGAUGAGCCCGCGUCGGAUUAGCUAGUUGGUGGGGUAAAGGCCUACCAAGGCGACGAUCCGUAGCUGGUCUGAGAGGAUGAUCAGCCACACUGGGACUGAGACACGGCCCAGACUCCGAGGGGAGACAGCGGAAGGGAGCACUGGGCGCUGGGGGCAGGCGUGACAAAGCCGUGCCGCGUGAGUGGUGAAGGCGGUAGGAUUCUGAAGCUGUUUUACACGAGGAGUGAAUGACGGUACCGGGUAAAGAAGCACCGGCUAACUCCGUG
rnacentral:rRNA from 1 species